rnacentral:rRNA from 1 species
CAGCCGCCACGGGAAUACGGAGGGUGCGAGCGUUAAUCGGAAUUACUGGGCGUAAAGCGUACGCAGGCGGUUUGUUAAGUCAGAUGUGAAAUCCCCGAGCUUAACUCGGGAACUGCAUUUGAAACUGGCAGGCUAGAGUCUCGUAGAGGGGGGUAGAAUUCCAGGUGUAGCGUGAAAUGCGUAGAGAUCUGGAGGAAUACCGGUGGCGAAGGCGGCCCCCUGGACGAAGACUGACGCUCAGGUACGAAAGCGUGGGGAGCAAACAGGAUUAGAUACCCGGGUAGUCCCUGUCUCUUAUACC